rnacentral:rRNA from 1 species
UACAGAGGUCUCAAGCGUUGUUCGGAUUCAUUGGCGUAAAGGGUGCGUAGGUGGUGAUGCAAGUCUGGUGUGAAAUCUCGGAGCUCAACUCCGAAAUUGCACCGGAUACUGCGUGACUCGAGGACUGUAGAGGAGAUCGGAAUUCACGGUGUAGCAGUGAAAUGCGUAGAUAUUGUGAGGAACACUAGUGGCGAAGGCGAGACUCUGACAGUUCCUGACGCUGAGGCACGAAGGCAGGGAGCAAACGGG